UGCAGUGCCAUGCUGACUCCCUAAUGACAAC
rnacentral:piRNA from 1 species